UACGUAGGAUCCGAGCGUUGUCCGGAUUUACUGGGUGUAGAGGGUGCGCAGGCGGACUGGUAAGUCAGUGGUGAAAUCUCGUCGCUUAACGACGAAACUGCCUUUGAUACUAUCAGUCUUGAGUCCGGUAGAGAUCUGUGGAAUUCCGAGUGUAGCAGUGAAAUGUGUAGAUAUUCGGAAGAACACCAGUGGCGAAGGCAGCAGACUGGGCCGGUACUGACGCUCAUGCACGAAAGCGUGGGCAUCAAACAGG
rnacentral:rRNA from 1 species